CCUGUUUAUCACCUGCCAAAAAUCCACAAAAACCUCAAUAAUGCUCCAGGUAGGCCGAUAGUCUCAGGAAUAGACUCAAUUUCUAGUAGACUGUCGGAGUACCUGGACAAAUGUCUGCAACCAAUAGUCCAAAAAACACCCAGUUAUUUAAAAGAUACCCUGAAUAUUAUUCAGACUUUACAGGAGGUACAAUGGGAAUCUCAUUUUAUUCUGGUAACUGCAGAUGUU